GGCCUAACACAUGCAAGCCGAGCGGUAUAGAUUCUUCGGAAUCUAGAGAGCGGCGUACGGGUGCGGAACACGUGUGCAACCUACCUUUAUCAGGGGGAUAGCCUUUCGAAAGGAAGAUUAAUACCCCAUAAUAUAUUGACUGGCAUCAGUCGAUAUUGAAAACUCCGGUGGAUAGAGAUGGGCACGCGCAAGAUUAGAUAGUUGGUAGGGUAACGGCCUACCAAGUCAGUGAUCUUUAGGGGGCCUGAGAGGGUGAUCCCCCACACUGGUACUGAGACACGGACCAGACUCCUACGGGAGGCAGCAGUGAGGAAUAUUGGACAAUGGGUGAGAGCCUGAUCCAGCCAUCCCGCGUGAAGGACGACGGCCCUAUGGGUUGUAAACUUCUUUUGUAUAGGGAUAAACCUACUCUCGUGAGAGUAGCUGAAGGUACUAUACGAAUAAGCACCG
rnacentral:rRNA from 1 species